rnacentral:rRNA from 1 species
GGGGGGGGCGGGGGGCGGGGCGAGCGCAUGCGGGGCGGGCGGGGGGGGGGGGGGUGCGCCGGGGUGCAGCGGCGGACGGGUGGGUAAUGCCUAGGAAUCUGCCUGGUAGUGGGGGAUGACGUCCGGAAACGGGCGCUAAUACCGCAUACGUCCUGAGGGAGAAAGUGGGUGAUCUUCGGACCUCACGCUAUCAGAUGAGCCUAGGUCGGAUUAGCUAGUUGGUGGGGUAAAGGCCUACCAAGGCGACGAUCCGUAACUGGUCUGAGAGGAUGAUCAGUCACACUGGAACUGAGACACGGUCCAGGCUCCUACGGGAGGCAGCAGUGGGGAAUAUUGGACAAUGGGCGAAAGCCUGAUCCAGCCAUGCCGCGUGUGUGAAGAAGGUCUUCGGAUUGUAAAGCACUUUAAGUUGGGAGGAAGGGCAGUAAGUUAAUACCUUGCUGUUUUGACGUUACCAACAGAAUAAGCACCGGCUAACUUCGUG